GACGAACGCUGGCGGCGUGCUUAACACAUGCAAGUCGAACGGAAAGGCCCUGCUUGCAGGGUGCUCGAGUGGCGAACGGGUGAGUAACACGUGGGUGAUCUGCCCCUUACUUUGGGAUAAGCCUGGGAAACUGGGUCUAAUACUGGAUAGGACCAUGCUGUAGGUGGUGUGGUGGAAAGAUUAGUUUCGGUAAGGGAUGAGCUCGCGGCCUAUCAGCUUGUUGGUGGGGUAAUGGCCUACCAAGGCGUCGACGGGUAGCCGGCCUGAGAGGGUGGACGGCCACAUUGGGACUGAGAUACGGCCCAGACUCCUACGGGAGGCAGCAGUGGGGAAUAUUGCACAAUGGGCGCAAGCCUGAUGCAGCGACGCCGCGUGGGGGAUGACGGCCUUCGGGUUGUAAACUCCUUUCAGCCAUGACGAAGCCCUUGCGGUGACGGUAGUGGUAGAAGAAGCACCGGCUAACUACGUG
rnacentral:rRNA from 1 species